rnacentral:rRNA from 1 species
CUAUUCGCCUUCGGCUUUAAUGAGCCAGAUCAGAGUCCGUGUGAGUUGACUAUCCGUACCGAAGCUUCAGACGGCCUAAUUAUCAAGGUUUGGAACUCCCGCGGCGCCCGCGGUGGACCCAGGGCGCCCGGGGGUAAACCUGCGCCGCCCGCGAAGCAACGGUUUAGGUAACGUUCACAAUGUUUAGGGAGUUUUGCAACUCUGUAUUCCGUAGGUGAACCUGCGGAGGGAUCAUUACAGAGUUGCAAAACUCCCUAAACCAUUGUGAACGUUACCUAAACCGUUGCUUCGGCGGGCGGCGCCGGGGUUUACCCCCCGGGCGCCCCUGGGCCCCACCGCGGGCGCCCGCCGGAGGUCACCAAACUCUUGAUAAUUUAUGGCCUCUCUGAGUCUUCUGUACUGAAUAAGUCAAAACUUUCAACAACGGAUCUCUUGGUUCUGGCAUCGAUGAAGAACGCAGCGAAAUGCGAUAAGUAAUGUGAAUUGCAGAAUUCAGUGAAUCAUCGAAUCUUUGAACGCACAUUGCGCCCGCCAGUAUUCUGGCGGGCAUGCCUGUUCGAGCGUCAUUUCAACCAUCAAGCCCCGGGCUUGUGUUGGGGACCUGCGGCUGCCGCAGGCCCUGAAAAGCAGUGGCGGGCUCGCUGUCACACCGAGCGUAGUAGCAUACAUCUCGCUCUGGGCGUGCUGCGGGUUCCGGCCGUUAAACCACCUUUUAACCCAAGGUUGACCUCGGAUCAGGUAGAGAUCCCU